GCGGGAUCUGAAGUGGAGCUUCUAGCAACCCCCAGGAGCACUGAGUGAACACGCAAGGUGACUGCAGGACCCACUUGUGUCCACUGAUCUCUCAGAGUGACUGGGGAUCGUGAAACCUGAAGAUUGGAUCUUCUGAGAACAUCAGAGAAAGGCCGUCUUUGCCAUCCACACUACAGAAAAACUUUGGAGCCUCGAACCUUGGGUUUAUAAUCUCACAACUGAGAAGGGUCCCUCCACACUCCUGCAACUGUACACCUGUUGGAACCCUUAAGGUAAAACUAAUCAGGAAAGUUUCUCCCCAGAAGAAGAUGGCAUCCUUGAUGUGAACAGCUUUUCCACAAGAUCACGGAUCAAAACUUCUACUAUCAUGAGACUCUUAUAUUUGAAUUUUUUUUCUUGUUUAUGCCUCUAUGAACAAUAGAAAUGAAAAGGGGGUCUAUUAUGUGCUCUUACAGGGUAUGCUUUUCUUUGUGAAGGAUUUUGCAGCCAGCCUUAUACAUGAAUAAACUUACACUUUAAUAGAUAAAAGAUGAAGGCCCAAUGUAGGUGAGAAACUUUAGUGAUACAUACAUUGC
rnacentral:lncRNA from 10 species